GCCAGGCGCGGUGGCGCGCGCCUGUGGUCCCGGCUACUCGGAAGGCUGAGGCAGGAGGAUCGCUUGAGCCCAGGAGUUCUGGGCUGUAGUGCGCUACGUGGAUCGGGUGUCCGCACUAAGUUCGGCAUCAAUGUGGUGACCUCCGGGGAGCGGGGGACCACCAGGUUGCCGAAGGAGGGGUGAACCGGCCCAGGUCGGUCGGAAACGGAGCAGGUCAAAACUCCGGUGCUGAUCAAAUGCCUCUAUUCUUCGUAAAUCCAUAGAUACUCUGAAUCUUAAAUGCGACCCUGGGUAGGUAGGGGAGGCCUGCAAUUU
ensembl:misc_RNA Metazoa_SRP Metazoan signal recognition particle RNA